rnacentral:lncRNA from 1 species
AUGGAUUAAUGUAUGAGCACCUGCAAAGUUCAUAGACACAAACUACCAUCAGUUCUCAGUUUCCACUCAGUCUUUCUUCCAAGUGCAUCUUGCAACCGAGAUUCAGCAGUUGACAUAAACAGUGGUCUGCACAUGUGAAGAUGGUGCAUCUGGGGGGUCUGUGCAGGUCAGCAUGGCUCAAUGUGGCAGACACUUCCAAAGUCAUAUAUUUGAAAAUUCAGGGCCAGAA